AAGAAGUUCACAGUAGAGGUUCUGGAAGUUUAGGGAGGUGUAAGGUUAAUUUUUCUAUGUUCAUGUUCUGUAAGGAGAUGUUACCAGUUAUUGAGAGGGCUGUGAGGAGGGUAAGAAUUUAAUGUAGGGGGCAAAAGUGUAUGUUUGAAUAAUCUUAUGUAGACAAAAUUAUCUUGGAGAGUGAACUUGGAGAAUAUGAGCCUAGAAGAAAGGUCGUGUUCAUGAAUUCUGUGGCAUUCUUGGAAGAAUUUCACCAAAGGUGUGACCAACACAGGAUGUUCAACUGACAAACACCACUGGCUGACCAGCUGUUUGAACUGGAGAGCUAUGGAGUGAAAGACCUUUGCCUAUUUAGCAGUCUCCUAAGGUAAUUACUUGGAACUGUUUUAGCUCUUUUCAGUUGACUGUGGUGUUUAGAAGAAAUGAUUGCAGUCUGUACCUUUAACAACAAAGAGCAGGCGAAAGGAUGGAUUACUUUAGCAAACAGGCAGUUAUUCAGAGCUGUGCAUCUUGUCAACUAUUUUUGGUGAAAUUUGGUUUACUAGCUGGCUAACAAGGCAACCCUUCAGAGUUAUUUAAUAAAGAUCCACUGUUUAAAAGUCAUUGGGUGGAGAAUUGAAUGCCACGACUGAGAUUGCACUGAGAGAUCUGGAAGCUGGAUUUGGAGGACAUUUCCAAUUGACUCAACAUACAAACCCAUGUGCCUGUACUGUUAUACCAUACUUUCUUCCAGUU